UCUAAGUACCCCGAGGAAAAGAAAUCAACCGAGAUUCCCCCAGUAGCGGCGAGCGAACGGGGAGGAGCCCAGAGCCUGAAUCAGCAUGUGUGUUAGUGGAAGCGUCUGGAAAGGCGCGCGAUACAGGGUGACAGCCCCGUACACAAAAGCGCAUGUGCUGUGAGCUCGAUGAGUAGGGCGGGACACGUGGUAUCCUGUCUGAAUAUGGGGGGACCAUCCUCCAAGGCUAAAUACUCCUGACUGACCGAUAGUGAACCAGUACCGUGAGGGAAAG
rnacentral:rRNA from 1 species